rnacentral:rRNA from 1 species
UACGAAGGGGACUAGCGUUGUUCGGAAUUACUGGGCGUAAAGCGCACGUAGGCGGAUUUGUAAGUCAGGGGUGAAAUCCCGGGGCUCAACCUCGGAACUGCCUUUGAUACUGCAAAUCUCGAGUCCGAUAGAGGUGGGUGGAAUUCCUAGUGUAGAGGUGAAAUUCGUAGAUAUUAGGAAGAACACCGGUGGCGAAGGCGGCCCACUGGAUCGGUACUGACGCUGAGGUGCGAAAGCGUGGGGAGCAAAUGGG